AAUAGCUUAAUACUUAUUCAGAAUCUAAUCAUUUUAGGUAUAUUUUUUGAAAAGAAAACUAAUCCUCGCACUUUGUAGUUCUCUGAAUAAUAACUAUGACUUCAUUUAAAGUUUCAAUAAUAUUAACUGUGAUAUUUUUUAUCAGCAAUUGUGUCAAAGGAGACUACUCAGGAGAAAUAAAUGGUGAGAGACUUAAAUUCACUUUAUAUUAGUAAAUUAUAUAAAUAAUACAUUUAUGAUUAAUUUAAAAAAAAUAGCAUAACUAUUACUUAAAAUAUACAUGUAGGUACUGAAUAGUACAUUAUUAUAGUACCUAAUCAAUGAUUGUUAAAUAUUUAAAUAUUAAAUCUCAAAUAAUUUAUUUUUAUAUUUUUUUAGAAUGCAAUGGUA